AGGGGUAUAGCUCAAUUGGCAGAGCGUCGGUCUCCAAAACCGAAGGUUGUGGGUUCAAUUCCUACUGCCCCUG
rnacentral:tRNA from 1 species